AUGCGGCACCGUUCCAUGCGACUAGAUCCGCUGCUCACGCCCCCCCUGCCAAGGGUUUCGGGCGUCGGCUCCGGCGCCGGUGGGCAGGUCGUCCCCCUCUUGUACUCCUCUCUUCCGACGUGCAGGGAGGAACAGGCUACGUGUGAACUCCAUCGUGACACUACUGACGGUGAUGUCAAUGGACGAGAUGUGCCUUGGGUUGACGAGCAUGCACUGAGGAGGGAAGUGAAAAAGGAAUACGUCGCCAAGAGAACUCAAUGGUACGGUGCUGGAGGUGGAGGAGGUGGCCAACAUGGCGCUGUACGUGGAGUUGGACGAGGCUAG
rnacentral:rRNA from 1 species